GAUGAACGCUGGCGGCGUGCUUAACACAUGCAAGUCGAACGGACUUUUAAUGAAGCCUAGCGAUUUAAAAGUUAGUGGCGGACGGGUGAGUAACGCGUGGGUAACCUGCCUUAUACAGGGGGAUAACACUUAGAAAUAGGUGCUAAUACCGCAUAAGCGCACAGUAUCGCAUGAUACAGUGUGAAAAACUCCGGUGGUAUAAGAUGGACCCGCGUCUGAUUAGCUAGUUGGUGAGGUAACGGCUCACCAAGGCGACGAUCAGUAGCCGGCCUGAGAGGGUGAACGGCCACAUUGGGACUGAGACACGGCCCAAACUCCUACGGGAGGCAGCAGUGGGGAAUAUUGCACAAUGGGGGAAACCCUGAUGCAGCGACGCCGCGUGAGUGAAGAAGUAUUUCGGUAUGUAAAGCUCUAUCAGCAAGGAAGAAAAUGACGGUACUUGACUAAGAAGCCCCGGCUAACUACGUG
rnacentral:rRNA from 1 species